rnacentral:rRNA from 1 species
AUUGAACGCUGGCGGCAGGCCUAACACAUGCAAGUCGAACGAGUGGCGGACGGGUGAGUAAUGUCUGGGAAACUGCCUGAUGGAGGGGGAUAACUACUGGAAACGGUAGCUAAUACCGCAUACCAUCAGAUGUGCCCAGAUGGGAUUAGCUUGUUGGUGGGGUAACGGCUCACCAAGGCGACGAUCCCUAGCUGGCCUGAGAGGAUGACCCGCCACCCUGGAACUGAGACAAGGUCCAGACUCCUACGGGAGGCAGCAGUGGGGAAUAUUGGGCAAUGGGCGCAAGCCUGAUGCAGCCAUGCCGCGUGUAUGAAGAAGGCCUUCGGGUUGUAAAGCACUUUUGGCGGGGAGGCGUUACCCUCACAAGAAGCACCGGCUAACUCCGUGCCAGCCGCCGCGGUAAUAC